CUUCUGAAAAGGCAAACUUAUCUAAAGGUAAGGACGCAAAGCUACGGGUCUAAGGCCAUCACUUACAAACAAUUAUAUAUUUAGUGGCUAUGACCGCCGGGCUGCCUUG
rnacentral:ncRNA from 1 species